GGAGGAAUAUUGCACAACGGGGGGAACCCAGGUGCAGCAACGCCGCGUGAGUGAAGAAGGCCUUCGGGUCGUAAAACUCUUUUCUGAGGGAUGAGGAAGGACAGUACCUCAGGAACAAGUCUCGGCUAACUACGUGCCAGCAGCCGCGGUAAGACGUAGGAGGCGAGCGUUAUCCGGAUUUACUGGGCGUAAAGGGCAAGUAGGCGGUCAUGCAAGUCAGUUGUGACAGAUCCCGGCUCAACUGGGAAAGGACGAUUGAGACUGCGAGACAAGAGGACAGGAGAGGGGAGCGGAAUUCCUGGUGUAGCGGUGGAA
rnacentral:rRNA from 1 species